GAGCCGAGAGGAGGCAGGAGAGAAGUGAGGCGAGAGAAAGAGAGAGAGAGAGACCCCUGCCGAUCCUGAGCCAGAGGGCGGGCGGAGGGAGGGAAAGGAGUCGCUGGAGCCGUCCGGGAGCAGAGGCAGAGGCAGCGGCUCCGUGGCGGCGACAGUGGCAGCCAGGCGGCCGCCUAGCUGCCCGCUGGGAGCUCGGCGCUUCGCGGAUCCUUGCACCUGGCAGCUGCUCCCUGGCCGAGCGGAGCCGGGGCACCCGGACGCAGUCUUCUCUUCGUCUGGUAAACCUGACCUCCUCGCAGCUCGGGGGCGGCUCCGGGGCUGCGAGAUAGGACAGGGCUCCGAGGUCCUGCCGGGCAGCUCGGGAGGAGGCGGAGGCACGCUCAGGCGAGCGGGUGGGUGAACGGGCAUCCUGGUAGCCCCUUCCCUCUUUCCGCGGAGUUGAAUCUGUGCUGCCCGUGUCCAGGUGCUGGGCUUCCGCACCGAUAUCGACUCCCCAUUCCCGCCCUCGGCCGCCUUGUCAUGCUGCCCAAAGUGGAUACGGAAGCCCUGGGACUGGCUCGAUCGCGUGGGGAACGGGGCAGACGCCGCAAAACAUGCAAGGUAGGGAGGCGCCGCGUAGCUCGAGGGCUCCGGUGGCUUCUCCACCCUCAGGCUAGCUUUGUGGGCUUCAGCCUCCCGCCCGGCGCAGGCCCUGGAGCAGCGGGGCUAGGGACCCUGUAGCCACAGGCUGUGGGGCGGCGCGCGGGCAUCAGGAUCCCUCCUCAGGUGCAGACAUAAAAGUUUAUGGCUCUUGAACAAUGCGGGCAGAGCUUUGCCAAUCGAUGUCUAAUUGGUCGCUUCUGAUUAAGAGGAUUCGAGCUCUAAGGUAACUCCAGCGGCGGGCAGCUCGAGGCUGAAGGUACUUUCGAAUAAUAAGAUCGUUCUGAGAAAUGGAAUGUGUUAUUGGACAUUCGAGCAGAUAUUCUCGGUAUUGCGGUGUACUUUGAUAAUCCGUCUGGAGGGAGAAGACUGCAGAAAGAGAAGGCGAUCGCGGAAAAGCUGUGCAAGCGGUGUCUGUGAGCAGCCCCUGCCAAGCCCAGGCUGACCCCAGGGGUGGCUUGGGUUUGGACAACUUCAAAACUGUUGGCAGAAUUUAAGAAAAUCAAAGUUACACCAUCCUUCCUUGGUAGGGUAAUACUGAGUUGAGGAGGUAUGGUUUGUUUCUUGCCCCCUCAUCCAUUCAAGAGCUGAGAUUAUAGAAAUCCCAUUUGUUUUUCAAGCUCUUGAUUGCUAACAACAAUAACAGAAAAAAAAAAAAAAAAAGAGAGAGAGAGAAAGAAAAAAAAAAGAAAAAAAAAAGACAUGUCUCAGUUUCUGAGUCUAGUGAACAAGAAAAGGAGCUGCUGUCUCUCCUGUACAAAUCACUGGUCUGGAAGGUGACCUACUGCAAAUGGCAGAGAGAGCUGACCCACAGGAAGGGGCAGCAGGGUUGAGUUCCCCUGGGUCCCCUACCCUUCAAAGUCUUUGUGGCUGGUAGACUGAGUGUAGUGGGUAGUGAGACUCUCUGAGGGUUGAAAUCUCCUCUAGUCAUGUAGCUUUGUCACUUAAAUACUCAGUUUCAAAUGUGUAAGAACAUUUGAAAAUGCUUCUUACAGGGCAUAUAUCUCAAAAUUUACAAAUACAGAGAGAGAUAAGGUGUGUUUACUGUGGUGAUUUUUCAGUCUAGAAAUUAGUUUAUUCAUUUAUUUACUUCAUAAAAGGUACUGCAGCAUUUUUUUUAGGCCCAGCCAGGCUCGUGCUCUUUUCUUUGCCCCAAGGCCUUUGGUCCCCCCAACCUCAUUGUGUGAAAUAUAAAAGAAUCAUAUUAUUUGUAUAAACCUAAAGAGAAAAUAAUGGUAGCUGACAUUUGUUGAGCUUCCAUGGUACUGUCAAUUCUGCAGUUUAUUCCAGGAAUGCCUGAGUGGUCUUGUCACAUAAAACCUGAUACUGUCACUUGAUCUGGGGACUGAGAGGUAUGGCAACCUUCAUCAUUCUUCAACCUUCAUCAUUUUCAUUGGGUAAACAACACAGUGAUGCCCGGAUAUAGAUCAACACAACAAGAAUGUGGCUGUCUCUGCUGUUUACUAUUUAACCCUGCACUAGAAAUAUCACCUGACACAUUGAAACCAAUGCCACGGGUUUGAUCGCUUGCACCAAAAAAUUAAAAUCUAAAAAUAAAUCAAAAAUAGACCAGAAAGGAUGUAAAAACCUUGGAAGAAAGAGAUCAAAUAAAUAUCACUAUGAAAUAUAAUUGUAAAUGUAAACACCCAAACUACAAACAACAAAAGAAUCUGGUAAGCUGCUGGCAAAUACCAAAAUGAUCCUAAGUUAACAGGCAGCACCUAAGAGCUGCCUUGAAUCAUUGUCACUGGGCCACCUGUUGAGAAUUGUCUCAGGUGAAGGCUAACCACAGGAUCCUUUCGACCAUCUGAUUUCAAAAUGUUUAUCCUACCAAUUCUGAAAAUUCUCUUCCAGACCAUGUCCUUAAAUUACCCAGAUGAAUCUUCCUGAAGUGAUACAAAGAAUAUUCAAAGCUGAUUAAGCACUUUCCUAAGCAGCCGAUUUAAAAAACAAACAAACAAACAAAAACCCCCAAAUCCCUCAACAGAGUUUUUGGCAUAUUUACAAUUUGAAGACCACCAGCUGCACUCAGUUUGUCCCCUAUGCUGAAAUAGUGGUAGUCCUGGGACUUUUCAACCAAGGUGAAUCAGGGUUUCUGAGCAUGAUCAAAAGAUUUAAAAAAAAAAAAAAAAAUUUCCAGAGAAAGUUUGUCACAGACCUUUCAAUAAUCAUUGUCCCAGGGUCUCCUACAAUAAUGGUUCUGACCCAGUGAGAGGCCAGGAUUAAAGAAAUAUGCUUAGAAUUGAAUUGAGUCCACCAGAGCUACUGUUAAGAGAAAUGCAUUCCACAGAGUACUCCUCAGAGAACCUCUCCUUACCAGACCGUAAAUCUUUGACUUCUUUUCACUUGAUAUGUGACCACUUGGAAUUCAUUUAAAUAUGACUGUGAAUAUACGCUCAUACAUGUUCAGAGCAUAUUACUUAUACUUCCAUUUUUCCUGGACAACAUAUGCAGUCUUAUGUAGGACUUUGUUAUUCACAACUCUGGGAUAAGAAUGAAAUGUUGUAUAGCUUUAAAAUAAAUUGCAUGCCUUCUAGAUAAUUUCUUUGUAUAAUUUUAUAUGGUUUUAAAUACAUCAC
rnacentral:lncRNA from 1 species